rnacentral:rRNA from 1 species
CGGGGAAUAUUGGUCAAUGGGGGAAACCCUGAUCCAGCCAUCCCGCGUGUGCGAUGAAGGCCUUCGGGUUGUAAAGCACUUUUUGUAGGAAAGAAACGUCAUGGGUUAAUACCCCGUGAAACUGACGGUACCUGCAGAAUAAGCACCGGCUAACUACGUGCCAGCAGCCGCGGUAAUACGUAGGGUGCAAGCGUUAAUCGGAAUUACUGGGCGUAAAGCGGGCGCAGGCGGUUCGGAAAGAAAGAUGUGAAAUCCCAGAGCUCAACUUAGGAACUGCAUUUUUAACUACCGGGCUAGAGUGUGUCAGAGGGAGGUGGAAUUCCGCGUGUAGCGGUGAAAUGCGUAGAUAUGCGGAGGAACACCGAUGGCGAAGGCAGCCUCCUGGGAUAACACUGACGCUGAUGCACGAAAGCGUGGGGAGCAAACAGG